ACUACUGACAUUGACGUUAAAAGGGCAAUAUUUGUAGGAAUUUCGCUUACCUGUUUUGUACAUCCAUAGUCUCAGGAAUAUCUAAAUUUAUAAAAACUUGAGUUGCACUAUUUGACGAUAGAGAAUAUCCUGCAUAGUGGUUGAAAUAAUCAUUUUCCUAUGUAAACCAAGCAGAGAGAUAAUAAAAUAAGUGAUUAAAAUUUGAAAGAAGACAUACUGCCAAAUUUCCUCACUGUUGUUGAUGUAAUUAUAAUGACAUUCCCUAUUGACUUGACAUCAAUUAGAUCAGCUUUGUCACCCCAUAAUCUAACUUUGACUUCCUGGUCUCUGUCAACAAAAAGUAAAAUGUGAAGACAUGACAUGAGCACCUUCGCUGCGAAUAAGAUGUAUUUUUUGGCUUACUCGAUUAGAAGGAAAAUAUCACGGAUUCUGGAGGGCCCAAGAUAUGUUCUAGUUUCUUCAAUUUGUCCUAUGUGUGUUGCAACUCCAAUAACAUCUGUUAGCACAUGAAUUUAGAUGGCAUUUUAUAUAUGCCAUGAAAAAAUGGCAUAUUGUAUCUUAAAAGUUCAUUGAUGUCAUACCUGAGAGAUAAGUGUCAAUGCUUACUCUUUGGGAGAGUACCUCCAUGCUUGAAAAGUUGAAACCAUGCUUUGGAAUGUCUCCAUUAUCUUCAAUCUUCUCUAUACUUGUUGUGGGUGAGAAGUUGAUCAUCAUCUCAUUUUGUACAGGUCGAAAUUUUGCUGCUGCUGGAAUGACUCUCACAUUUUUAAUGAGGAGAGCUUUUUGUCCAAACCUUUGUGAUUAGACCCAAUCGGACAGGACGGCGGCCCGUUUGAGAUGGGAGCGAGGGAAGGUGCUAUCCGUUGCAGACGUGUGUGUGUGUAUAUAUAUAUAUAUAUAUAUAUAUAUAUAUAUAUAUAUAUAUAUAUAUAUAUAUAUAUAUAUAUAUAUAUAUAUAGGGAUUGACUAUUCGUCACCCUGGGUGAGGGAUAGUUAUUCUUCACCCCCUCUAUUUUAACAUCUAUGCACCGUAAUUUUAUGUUUCAUAAGUUUUUGUUUUAUUUCAUACGUAAUAAGAGAGUGUAAGAAAAUAUGUAAUCACUGUAAAAAAUAUUUUAUGUUACGUAAAAUUAUAGACGUAAAAAUAUAGUGUAAAAUAUACAUAAAAAUGCAAUUUUUCUGGUCUUA